UGGGAGUGAUGAAAACUCUGAGCCUGACCAGUCUUCUCCGUGGAGGCCAAAGCUGAUUUAAUGAGCCUGAUCC